GGUUAUGUAACGAUGUGUAUCAUUUUAACGUUGCGUCCUUGGGAAGACUGCCGCCCACCCCACCUGUCCCCACACCUGUUCAUGUUCUACCGCUGCUGGCAAGCAUACCAGAGUUGGAGGAGACCCCACAAAUAAGCAUCCCAGAAGUGGAGGAAACCCCAAAAAUAAG